rnacentral:misc_RNA from 1 species
GAUGAAGAACGUAGUGAAAUGCGAUACUUGGUGUGAAUUGCAGAAUCCCGUGAACCAUCGAGUCUUUGAACGCAAGUUGCGCCCGAAGCCAUUAGGCCGAGGGCACGCCUGCCUGGGCGUCACACGUCGUUGCCCCCCCAUCUACUCCUUCGGGAUUGCGGGGGGCGGAUGAUGGCCUCCCGUGCGCCUCGUCGCGCGGUUGGCAUAAAUGCCAAGUCCUCGGCGACGCACGCCACGACAAUCGGUGGUUGCGAAACCUCGGUUGCCCGUCGUGUGCGGUCGUCGCGCAUCGAGGGCUCGAAAAAAUUGUCGGGCUCCGGCUCGGCUUUCAACGCGACCCCAGGUCAGGCGGGGUUACCCGCUGAAUUUAAGCAUAUCAAUAAGCGAGGA